rnacentral:rRNA from 1 species
GCAAGUCGAACGGUGAAAGAGAGCUUGCUCUCUGGAUCAGUGGCGAACGGGUGAGUAACACGUGAGCAACCUGCCCCGGACUCUGGGAUAACAGCUGGAAACAGCUGCUAAUACCGGAUACGAGCUGCGAAGGCAUCUUCAGCAGCUGGAAAGAAUUUCGGUCCGGGAUGGGCUCGCGGCCUAUCAGCUAGUUGGUGAGGUAAUGGCUCACCAAGGCGUCGACGGGUAGCCGGCCUGAGAGGGUGACCGGCCACACUGGGACUGAGACACGGCCCAGACUCCUACGGGAGGCAGCAGUGGGGAAUAUUGCACAAUGGGCGAAAGCCUGAUGCAGCAACGCCGCGUGAGGGAUGACGGCCUUCGGGUUGUAAACCUCUUUUAGCAGGGAAGAAGCGAAAGUGACGGUACCUGCAGAAAAAGCGCCGGCUAACUACGUGCCAGCAGCCGCGGUAAUACGUAGGGCGCAAGCGUUAUCCGGAAUUAUUGGGCGUAAAGAGCUCGUAGGCGGUUUGUCGCGUCUGCUGUGAAAACCCGAGGCUCAACCUCGGGCCUGCAGUGGGUACGGGCAGACUAGAGUGCGGUAGGGGAGAUUGGAAUUCCUGGUGUAGCGGUGGAAUGCGCAGAUAUCAGGAGGAACACCGAUGGCGAAGGCAGAUCUCUGGGCCGUAACUGACGCUGAGGAGCGAAAGGGUGGGGAGCAAACAGGCUUAGAUACCCUGGUAGUCCACCCCGUAAACGUUGGGAACUAGUUGUGGGGUCCAUUCCACGGAUUCCGUGACGCAGCUAAC